rnacentral:rRNA from 1 species
CUUAGUGGCGAACGGGUGAGUAACGCGUGAGUAACCUGCCCUAGAGUGGGGGACAACAGUUGGAAACGACUGCUAAUACCGCAUAAGCCCACGGUACCGCAUGGUACUGAGGGAAAAGGAUUUAUUCGCUUUAGGAUGGACUCGCGUCCAAUUAGCUAGUUGGUGAGGUAACGGCCCACCAAGGCGACGAUUGGUAGCCGGACUGAGAGGUUGAACGGCCACAUUGGGACUGAGACACGGCCCAG